rnacentral:lncRNA from 1 species
AAGUGAUUUCCCUUUUCUCUGUUUAAUGACCUAAUAUCCACUAUAAAAGCUUUUUACUUUAGAGAAAUUCUCUCAUAAAAUGCCGUUUCUUGUUGCGAGUAGAUUGUAGAAUCAAGAAAUUCGAUAUCAGAUACACGAAAACGAAGAGCUCUGGAAAAUGGGUGCCAUUUAUUAUCUGGACACCAUUUUAACUCCUAUUCAUGCAUAUCUUUGGCAUAACUUGAAGCACAAACCAACCAUAACUUCCAUUGGUAUGUAACUCAUUAAAAGGAAGGGCUUGGUUGAAAGAACUGAAUCAGGUAAGUUCUAUUCCUUUGCUAAUCAUUCUCAUGAUUCACUCAAGACACGUCUAUAUGGUAUAGCAAACAAAAUUUUAGCUUUUUCUUUUUUCCCAUUUUAUUUUGCAGGGAGAUGAUAAAAAGGGCGUAAAUGUUAGCAGUCCAAAGCUUAAGAAACAAUCACGAGUCUUACUAACUAAAUCACGUACUGAACAAUCAUGGUUUUCUUGAAUAGAUAAAUUGUAUAAUGAAUAAGAUUGAGUGUAAUACGAAUAUUGUUUAUUGUAAUGUUCAAUCUUAUUGUAAAUUGUGUACAUGUUAAGCAUGCCCUCAUGUUUGAGUGUUUUAAAGAAACAUAGGUUCAUUUUCAUAAAUUUAUCAUUAUAUUUAAAUAAAUAACAAAAAUUAUAGGUGCUCAACUAUUGCUUUAUAGCCCAAUAACAAUCCCAAUAAAGGCUUGCGAGGAUAAAGUGUAAACUAUUGCAGCAUUGCUACCCCCACCAGUAAAUAGCUACACCAUCUUUAAACAUAUUCUCGAAUAAUUGAAACUCAGAUUGACGAAGGGAUCAGAUCAAGUCGUUUUAUCAUUUUGGGAUCGUAAAAUCAUAGAAUGGCUUGAUGUAUUGAACAAUGACAUAUGAAUAAUGCUAUUUAUAGUGAGGAAUAUAGGUAGUCGUCCUAUGUGUGUGUGUGUAUAUAUAUAUAUAUUACUUCAUGCAUCAAAUAACAAACUAACACAUGUAUGUCACGUGAAACGAUCACUUGUAAUUCUUACUACGAAUAGCAUUACUCAUGAUAUUUUAUUGAACAUGAUUAGAUAAUAACAAGAAGUUAAAAAUGUUGUUUCUCAAUGUAUUAUAUUGCUUUAUUUUAGCAUUUAUGUAGAGCCAAGUCAUUGUAUUCUUGAUGGGGAAACUGGACCCUGGCCAUUGAUUACAUUUGGGAGGAACAAAGGUAAAGACGGCAUCACAAUUCAUAAUUUCUUUUCUAUGUUGAGUCCAAUCAAUAAACCUCUAUUCUGAUUAAAGUGUUAGCUGGACUUCUGAUCUAACCAAG